rnacentral:lncRNA from 1 species
CAAGUCAGGUAUUAAAUUUGAGAAUUUAUUUACAUAACAAUACUUUAUAGGAAAAAAUGUGGUACAGCAUGAUAACUUAUCUGAAGAAGCAUUGAAUUUAUCAUCCUACAGUACGACCAGGAAGCUCUACUUUUAUCUGAGAUGGGACUUAAGCAAAGCAGGCAACCUUCUGAGUUCUUCUGCAAGACUCUUACAGCAAGUGAUACGAGUACGCACGGCGGUUUCUCCGUACCUCGUCGAGCAGCCGAGAAGAUCUUUCCUUCUCUGGUUUGUGUUAAGCAUUUGACAUUUCCGCAUAAAUUGAGAUGAUAAAAUUGUCAGCAUGUCUGGCUGUGCUUUUACUUUUCUUGGAAGUAUGCAGUAUAAACAUACUUCACUAAAAAGGAGCUUAAAAGCUGAUAUAAGUACAGCCAAACCUGCUCGAAUUCAGCUCAUUCUGCUACUUACCUGGAAAAUUUCUUGCAGGAUUUUUCGAUGCAGCCUCCUGCUCAGGAGCUAGUGGCUAAAGAUUUGCAUGACCAAUCAUGGACAUUCAGACAUAUAUAUAGGGGUAUUUGUUUCUAGAAUGUAUAUCCUUUGGUACUGUAUUUGUUUUAAAAUUCUCAAGGAUGUAUCAAGAAAAAGAUAUUAACUCUACUCUAUUAGAAUCCUCUCUUCCUGAAUAUUACUUCUAGAUAGACUACACAGAAAAUUGUAAAUACAUCUUGGAAAAAAUUAGAAUCAAACAUGCUCCUUUGAUUAUAUAUUCGUUCAAUGUUAAUUUGUCAUGAAAUUAUGAUUCUGAGAAAUGGUUUGCUAUGCCCUUUAUGUAAAUUAUUAUUUUUAUCAAUUAAGGACGCUAUAAGUCAAUUUGAUUUUACUUGCGAGUAUUCCAUAUGCAAAUAUACAUUACUUCAUAAAUAUUUCGAGUUCAUUUGAUGGUUACAGUUAGAUUUGUACCAUUUCUGCAUGUAAACCUCUAGAUUUGGUUACUUUUUCUUUUUGCUCACUUUACACAAGACUAGAUUCCUGGAAUAUCUCAUCGGGAUACACUCUCUUUGGAGCCACCUAAUAACGCUACUGAGAAAUAUUUCAUCUUAAUUAUUGGGAAUAAAACUUGAUUUUUGUUGUUGUAGUUCUGACCUGUUCUUGAUCAUCAAUCAUAGUUUGGAACAUAAAGUUAAAGACUACUUGUGCUUGAUUCCAGGUCAACCCAAAAGGCACCUGUUGACAACUGGAUGGAGUGUAUUUGUUAGCUCUAAAAGACUUACGGCAGGCGAUUCUGUCCUUUUCAUAAGGUACGGAAUAUUUGAAUUAAAAGCAUAGUUGGUUAAGCUUAACUGAACAUGUUUGGAAACAAAAAAGUGAGUUUCACUUGUUUUUAAGCUUAGCCAAACAUUCUCUCUGUUUGUGCUUAGCGUUAUCCUUGUCACUGAACUGCAAAAGUGUGAUAUAGAGACGAAAAGUCACAUCUUCUCUUGGGUAUAAGACAUGCUACCAGACAGCAGCCUGCUAUCUCCUCGUCUGUCAUAUCUAGUGACAGCAUGCACAUGGGAGUUCUUGCAGCUGCAGCUCAUGCGGCUGGGAACAACAGCCCAUUUAAGAUAUUCUACAACCCAAGGUAGUCGAACUAAUACCUUUUUCAACUGUUAAAGUACACUGGAUUAACUUUGUGAAAUUUUUUGAUUCCCUGAUGAAACCUAAACUUUUACAGGGCUAGCCCUUCUGAAUUUGUUAUUCCUCUUGCAAAGUAUAACAAAGGAAUGUAUACCCAAGUUUCAUUAGGUAUGCGUUUCAGGAUGAUGUUUGAGACUGAGGAAUCCGGAGUCCGCAGGUACAUGGGUACCAUUACUGGCAUUGGUGAUUUGGACCCAGUGCGAUGGAAAAAUUCACAGUGGCGUAACCUUCAGGUACUGGUUUUCUCUUUUCAUUUUGCUGAAAGUCUUCAACAUUUAUCUUUAGUGUGUAUGAUCAUGAACAUUUAGAACUUCGUGAUCGCUGUUCUACUCUCUUGGAAACUAAAUUUUUCCACUGCCCACCUAGGAUAUAACUCGACUGGUUGGUAAAUAUGUUGUCUAUAAUCAGUUUUUAGGCUAGCUUCUCUCAGUUUACCAUGCUAAAAGCUGCAUCUCAUUUUUGGUUUUGGCUUUUCUCCAAAUAUGUGCAUUGUAUCUUUCCAAUUUUUAUGUUUUCCUCUGCCGUAAUUGACCUUCAUUAAUUUCUAAUCAUGGUUUAGAUGUAUCCAAAAGAUUUAUCCUUGAUAUAUUCUACUACAAACGUCUUUUCCUCGAAACUUAUUCGAUUUCUAGAUCUCAUAAUCAAUUAUCAUUACUUUCGUUAGGUUGGAUGGGAUGAAUCUACUGCUGGGGAACGUCCUAGUCGAGUAUCAAUUUGGGAAAUCGAACCUAUUGUGACUCCCUUCUAUAUUUGUCCACCACCAUUUUUCAGACCUAAGUUUUCGAAACAACCAGGUUUCCCAGGUAAUCCAAGUUGACCACUUAUCUAUCUUUUAUUAUUCUGGGAUGUCAAACAGCUAUAAGUUACAAAUUUGUAUUAGUUUUAUUUGGUGUGUUUGUGGGAGACUGAAUGUGUCCAUAAGUUUUUGUUGAAAUUGCAAUAAUUUGUUGCAAAUGUUCAAAUUUUCCUCAAACUCGUGUUUUUACAGAUGAUGAUUCCGAUAUAGAGAAUAUUUUCAAGAGAGGCAUGCCCUUGAUUGGAGAGGACUAUGGUUUAAAAGAUACCUCAAGCUUCAUAUUCCCCGGGAUGAGUUUAGUUCAGUGGAUGAACAUGCAGCAGAAUCAACAGUUCACAGCUAAUCAGUCUGGACUUUUCCCGGACGGGCUCUCUUCAACUAACCUACACGGUAACCUUGGAACUGACGACUGCUCCAAGCUGUUGAAUUUCCAAUCCCCGGCCUUUGCUUCCCAAAAUCUCCAACUCAGCAAAAUCAAUCAACAAGUUGGACAACUUCAACAGCAGCCGUCUUCUGCGUGGCCCCAACAGCAGCCGCUGCAGCAAAUGUUAACGUCUUCUAUAAACCCUAUAAAUAAUGGUGUAGCUCCUGACCAGAAUCCAUAUCAAAAUUCACAGCAAACAGCAAUUAUCUCCCAACAACUUCAGCAACAACAGUUAAUAAGAGGCAAUACACAAAUGCAGCAAAAUGUUCCCUCAGCAAACAAAAGUACAGUACCCAUGAUAUCUUUACCUCAGGACACUCAGUUUCAGCAACAUAUUGAACAACCAUCUAGCCUUGUGCAGAGGCCCCAGCAACAGCAGACAGAAAUGCAACAAACUCGGCCACAAUUUCCGCAGCCAAUCUCAAUACAAAAGCCACAAGGGAAACAGACAUCACAACAGAGUAUUUCGGAACAUCAGCUGCAAAUGCAGAUUCUCCAGAAACAUCAGCAGCAACAGCAGCUGCAACAGGUGCCGUCCCCUGUAAGUUCUUUUUUGGAGCCUCCGUUUUCCCAACAACAACAGGCUCUUCAACAAAACCAGCAAGCUCAGCAUUUCAGCAGCACCGGCUUUUCAGCAUCAACACUUGUGCAAUCACCACAAUUUCCUGUCAACCAACUCUACAGCCAGCAAAAGUCUACGUUCACUGUCAAAUCACAUUCCGAACCAGCUGAUGCGGCUGGCCCAUCAUGUUCAAUCGCACCUUGUACAAACAAUAUGCAAGCUUCGCUGUCGAACUUUCUGAACAGAAAUCAAUUGGGAUCAGCUGCAUUACUUGAUAAUUCGGUUAUUCAUCCUGUUCCUAGUUUAGCUCCAGAGUCUCAUAGCAAGGCUGAUAUCCUAAUAAAAAGUGAUUUACCUAGUUAUAAAGGACCGAAGCAGCCUAAAUACCGAAAUACAGCUAAAGAUCACUUGGAUGCAGCUUCAAGCGCAACAUCGUAUUGCUUGGAUGCUAGUGGGCGGCAGAACUUUUCUCUUGCUGGCUUGGAUGGUGACAUUCAAUCACAUCCCCAGAGCAGUCUUCCUUUCACAAGCAGUAUUGAUGGAUUGACACCUGAUGCUUUGUUGUCAAGGGGUUGUGAUUCCGGGAAGGAUAUCCAAAACUUGCUCUCUAAUUACAGUGGUAAUCCAAGGGAUAAUGAAACAGAAUUUUGCUCUGCUGGAAUCAAUUCUCAAACAUUUGGGUUGCCAAAGAUGUCAUUUAACGCCAGUUGUUCAAAUGAUGCUGGGAUCAAUGAGGCUGGUGUUUUAAAUAGUGGGUUGUGGCCAAACCAGAUUCAGCGUAUGCGAACAUACACAAAGGUCUCUCUCUCUCUCUCUCUCUCAAACACACUGUUACACACACACGCACACUCUUCAAACUGGUCACCUGCCAAGUUCCCCCGCCACAAAAAUAGAAAAAUGAAAAAAAAUUACAGCAUAAUAGAAUCCAUCUACAUUCUCUUUGAGAACACUUACACGAAGGAACCGUAAUAUGAAAUAAAUUUUAUCUAAUUUCUUUCCCUCUUCGUUUGGAGACAGCCUGAUUACUAGAAAUUAUGCAGGUUCAAAAACGUGGCUCUGUGGGUAGAACUAUUGAUGUCACUCGUUACAAGGGGUACGAUGAACUUAGGCAUGAUCUAGCCCGUAUGUUUGGUAUCAAUGGACUACUUGAAGAUCCACAACGAUCUGAAUGGAAACUUGUCUACGUAGACCAUGAAAAUGACAUGUUACUUGUUGGCGAUGACGCUUGGGAGUAAGUGUUUAGCAACUGUCCUUGUUAUCUUAGUUUUUCGUUGAAAGAACACAAAAAUAACUUUGAAAAUUUUUCUCAGUGAGUUUGUGAGCUGCGUUCAGAGUAUAAAGAUACUGUCCUCUGCUGAGGUACAACAAAUGAGUUUAGAUGGAGAUUUAGCUCAGCCUCCUGCCCCAAACCAAGCACUCAGUGGAACAGACAGUGGUAAUGCUUGGAGAGGACAGUAUGAUGAUAAUUCUGCCAACUCUUUUAAUCGGUGAAAGCAUUGCAGAGAUUAACUUUUAUCAGCAGGAAAUGUUAGAAGGUAGAUGUAAAUUUCUUGUACCAUCGAAUGUUAAAAAGCUUGUCUGAAAUUUUUUGAAGUGCUUGUGCAUUCUUGUAGAAGAAUCAAGAAAACUAUAUAUACUUGACGAAACAAACAAUUUUUUAUUCAACUUUAAAAAAGGGAAAAUUCAGUCCAGUGCCAUCAUUUUCAUUCCUAAAUGGAUGCAACUCCAUAUUCUUUGCACUAAAUUACGCUAAACUGACAGUUCAAGAAAAUAUUCAUUUAGGACUGGAAUUCUUUUGUGAGAUAUCAGAAACUGGAAAAUAAGGACACAGACAAGCAGCUCUUUAAACGACUACAAAGAACAACAAAUGGUUCUCGAACUGAAAAAUCAUUACACUUUGAUUUCUUUCAUUACGCUGCAAAAAGUCGUCAUAUUGAUCCGGAUUACAACAAAUUUCUCAAGUUUCGCUUUUGCUGAACCAACUAAGAAAGGACAGCCAUGACCUCUGAAGCCCUUAGUGCUAUGUAGUUAGAACCGUCACUGCCCUUGAAAUCGUUUCCUGCAUAUUUGGAGUACAAAACUGUGUUCCCGGGGAUAACUGACAAUGGCUUCCUGUUACCUUCCUCAUCAAGGGGGCCAGGCCCGACUGCAAUCACCUGUAAUUGAAGAUGGAAA